rnacentral:rRNA from 1 species
AUGAAGAAGGUUGCUGAAGGACCACUGGGAACCGGCAAGGCUUUCGUAUGCCUGUCGCUGUUGAUGCUGCUCGUGCUGUCAUCUGAAAAAAUGGAGUCGUAUGGCUGCAUAAAGCGGAAGAGCGGGAAGUGGCUCAACGACACUUGCUUCAUACCAGGCACCUGCAACGCGCCCUGCAGGGACGAGGGCUUCGACAGCGGCCAUUGCAAGAACCUCUGGACAUGCAUCUGCUACAAGAACUGCACCGGCUUAUCCCUCUAG